UCAUCUGAGAAGAGGAACUUCAAUUGAGAAAAUGCCUCCUCCAUCAGAUUGCCUCCUCCAUCAGAUUGCCUCCUCCAUCAGAUUGCCUGUAGACAGUACUGUCUGGAACUAGCACUUCCUGCCUGAGACUCUUGGCUUCUGGGUGUGGAUGCUCAUCGGUUUUCAGACGGGAUAGCAAACAACAGGACACAUCUGAAUGUGGAGGUGAGGUCUGGCUCCACCCUGUGCCUGCUGGAAGAUCAGGCUGCAAUGGAAGGGCUCCACACCUUAACCUCUCCCCCUGUCGGCAAGGAAUCACCUGACUGAAGAGCUGUACCGGCUGGCUGACUUGAUUGGUGCAGGAAGACCCACCCCCAUUGUGGGCAGCACACUCUGUUAGCAGUCCACACAAAACAGCUGUGGCACAAGAAAUGUGGCCUGACUUUGCUCGCUUGCCUUUCACUCUUGCCUUUCACUCUUGCCAUCUGUGUUGGUUGAGACUGCCAAUUGUUUCAGUGAUGCCACACCCAGCGUCAGGCCCUCUUGAACACUUC
rnacentral:lncRNA from 1 species